rnacentral:rRNA from 1 species
UCUCCUUGACCCAACUACUUCUUGCGCCUUGAGCUGAAGGAGUUUGCUGUGCGACCCCAGGUCAGGCGGGGCUACCCGCUGAGUUUAAGCAUAUC